ensembl:ncRNA ZK381.45 ncRNA
UUCCAAUCUCUAACCGAUAACAUCUUUAGUACCGAUGUAUCAUAACACCUGUCACCCAUAGACACACACACAUAUAUAGACCCUUCCUGGCCGAGAUGAGGGGUACAUAAACACAUGCGGUAAGACUGUUAACCCCGCCCUCAAAAUACUGCUUCUCGGUCUGCGUCUCACCCUUCUAGUUGAUGUGGGAGGAUCCUUGUAGCUUU